UACAGAGGGUGCAAGCGUUGUUCGGAAUUAUUGGGCGUAAAGGGCGCGUAGGCGGUGCGGUAAGUCUGUAGUGAAAUCUCUGGGCUCAACUCAGAGUCUGCUAUAGAAACUGCCGUGCUUGAGUGUGGGAGAGGUGAGUGGAAUUCCCGGUGUAGCGGUGAAAUGCGUAGAUAUCGGGGAGGAACACCUGUGGCGAAAGCGGCUCACUGGACCACAACUGACGCUGAGGCGCGAAAGCUAGGGGAGCAAACAGG
rnacentral:rRNA from 1 species